ensembl:lncRNA
CAGCAUGUUUACUCUGACUGAUAAGAGCAGGACGACUUCAGAGACAGACUGAAGCUCUGGUCCUCUCCCCGGUAGGACAAAGAAGAGCAGCCCCUCUGCUGCUCUCUCACCUCCAGUGUGGGCUGGGUUCAGAGGGGGAAGGGGGCCGCCAUGCUGGGCCUUUUGUCCCGCUGUGGAGAGCACAUAUACGAGGACAUAUGGGCAGGAAGACAGGCUGAGAAACCUGCCUUAUAGCAGGGAGGUAGCGGGAAAUGGCGAAAUUAACGAGUUCUGUCCGCACGUUAAAGUGCUCAGAGAGUAGUUAGCUAAUAACGAACCCAGUUUCCUGGUAAAUGCAGCUGCCAUCGUUAAACUUUUAUCGGGGUCGGCUUUUGCUUAUAGGAUCAACACAUCAGCUAAAACGGAAGAAGAAGAAAAACAGACUUCGGGGGGCUUUAUAGCAGACACAAAGUUAGUUAGAGCUGGUAUUAAUCAGCAUUAGCUUACGCAAUGCUGCUAAGAGCUAAUAUACUGAUUUAAACCCCGUGUUUGCCCUUAUUCUUGGUAACACUCGGGCUCGCAUCGACAGUUUUCCAGCAGGGGUCUGAUUACUUUUAAGUGGAGCUAACAACAGUCCCGACUGCCUUUAAACUGGGCUCACUUUUUCCUGGUUUUUAAAUCAUGUAAAAACAUCCGAGAAAAGGGCUCCCACCCCAACUCCAAGCCGAUCCUCGCCAGCUGUGAACGCCGAGCCGCGCCGCGCUAUCCGCGGAGGGGAGCAGGUGAAGCGACAGUUAGCGGUCGGUGUCCCUCCAGCUGCCCGUUUCCUGCUCAGUAUUUCCGAUGUGCGCUGAAGUUGGAGCUGCUGUUUGGUUGCUGGCUCGGAGGCUGAAUGAGCAGAGCCGCUGCAGCUCGGCACUUUUCUCCUCCCCUCCGCGGUCACAGCUCAGAGCUCAGCAACACCGACAACCUGCCACGGCCACAGCCGCUGCUGCUUUACCACAGGAGCUCCAAAAACAGCCACCAAGACCCACGGGGGACUGUUUUAUUUUCUUUUUUGUUUCUGUGGCUUUGACAUAAAAGCUAGCAAUGAAUAUGGAAAUCAUCCUUGGUUAUUUUUUUACAUGUUUCUUUAUCACUGCUGUCUGUGAUGUAUUUUAAUUACAUUCUCCAGCUGUAAUCUUUAACCUGUACUUCUAUCUGCUGCCCUUUUUAAGGGUCACCCCCCUCCUGUGUCACACUAACCAUCUGGAUGUCCUCCUUCAUCACAUCCAUGAAUCUUCUCUGAGCUUUUCCUUUUUCCUCCUGUGUGGCAGCUUCUUCAUCAUUCGUUGCCCCUCAUUUACAUCAUCCCUCCUCUGCACAUGUGCAAACGUCUCAGUCUUGGCUCUCCACAGACUCUGUCUCCAAACUGCUCAAGCUGAGCUGUCCCUCUGACACGUCCAUUUAUAAUCCUGUUCAUCCCGGUCUCUCCCAGUGAAAUCCUAACAUCUUCAGCUCAGCCUUCCACCUUUUUGUCUCAAAAUCAUGCGUCACAGCAGGUCUCACUACCAUCUUGUAAGUUUGCCCUUUCACUUCUCCUGCUAUCCUUCUGUCACAAAUGACCUCUGACACUCGUCUCCACCCUGGAUGCGCUCUCUCUUGUGCACUGUCCAUCACGUUGGAUGGUUGAGCACAGUUAUAGGUAAUUAAUAUUAUGAAUGGUACCGAGAAAAUGAAGUGUCAGCAUAGACCUUCAGUUUUGGGAAACAUGGCACAUUAUAUGUGUUAGGUAUUUUAGUACCAUGGGAGCAUUUACUGGAUAUUGUUUUAUAGUGACAUUAUGCAGGAAAACUCUGUCAUUCAAUAAGGCCCCUUUGUUUUAGUUAUUUUUCUCUUUGACCCAAGAAUUGAUGUGUGAGAAUCACAGGCUGGUACAAGGUUGAAAUACCACAGAGAUCACUCCCUCAGCUACAUUAGUUUCUUAAUCUUUUAGACGCCUGUUGAAGGCCAAAUGGUUUGUUUCAGAUUUCACUAAUGAAAGAACUCUUUGUUUUGUGCCUUGAAAAUAUGUCGCUGAGAUAAUCACAAUUGUAGCUGAACUGAUACACUACACAAAGGAUGCUUCUUCACCCAAGGGCAGGAAGACGCUGCCUUAUCUUGGUCUGUACUGGUUUAAACUGAUAAAUCUGCUGUCUCAUGAAUUUGUCCCUCUAUAUAAACUGUUGUACUUGUGA